AAAACUUCAAUUCUCUAAUAUCGCUAUGAUAUUAAGGUUUAGCUAAUCACUCUUUAUGUUGUUGUAAUUUCCUACACUCGCAAUGGACUGUAAAUAUUGGAUUCUGCUACUUAUUAUUCUUGUUGAGGACUACCACAGUAGUGCAGCAAACCUAAAAAAUAGCAUACAGGGAAGGAAUCACUUAGCGAAAACUGCGAGCUCCGGUCGCGUGAUCAAAUGCUGCAGAAAUGAUAAAUGCAUCAAGCUAAGUCGCGUGAUUAGAUAUUCAAGUAGUACUAAAGCUAAUAGGGCACGAUCGACAACUCUUUUGAAAACCUCGUUAAC